rnacentral:misc_RNA from 1 species
AUGAAAUGUUAGGACGCUGUUUUUACAGGUCCGACCCUUUUAUUACCUUUCACACUGUGCACAUCACUACUUUUUUACACCCAUCUUUUAAACACUUAUAAAGUCAUUAGAAUGUAAACAGUCUCUUAAUUGAGCAUAAACUAUAACA